GCGGCGGACGGGUGAGUAACACGUGGACAAUCUGGCCCCCCGGCCCGGGAUAGACCCAGGGAAACCUGGAUUAAUACCGGAUGAGACGGGACCCGCGAUGGCGGGAUCCGGGAAAGGCGCUGCGGCGCCGCCGGGGGAUGAGUCUGCGUCCCAUUAGCUAGACGGCGGGGUAACGGCCCACCGUGGCGACGAUGGGUAGCCGGCCUGAGAGGGUGGACGGCCACAUUGGAACUGAGACACGGUCCAGACUCCUACGGGAGGCAGCAGCUAAGAAUCUUCCGCAAUGGGCGAAAGCCUGACGGAGCGACGCCCGCGUGAACGAAGAAGGCCGUGAGGUUGUAAAGUUCUUUUCGGGAGGGGGAACAACCGUGGCAGGGAAUGGCCGCGGGAUGACGUGAAUCCCGGAAUAAGCCCCGGCUAACUACGUGCCAGCCGCAGC
rnacentral:rRNA from 1 species